AGCGCAGGUGGUUGUAUAAGUCUGAAGUAAAAAGGCAGUGGCUCAACCAUUGUGUGCUUUGGAAACUGUACAACUUGAGUGCAGAAGGGGAGAGUGGAAUUCCAUGUGUAGCGGUGAAAUGCGUAGAUAUAUGGAGGAACACCGGUGGCGAAAGCGGCUCUCUGGUCUGUAACUGACACUGAGGCUGAAAGCGUGGGGGAGCAAACA
rnacentral:rRNA from 1 species